rfam:Spinacia oleracea cultivar SynViroflay scaffold24998.con0001.1, whole genome shotgun sequence.
GGUUCGCUUUAUUUCUGACACCUCUUGUAUGAGAAGUGCUUAAAUUGAAUAUAGGUGGUUCGCUGAGCAGAUUAUGCAAUAUUCUGAGCC